GAUGAACGCUGGCGGCGUGCCUAAUACAUGCAAGUCGAGCGGUAAGGCUCCUUCGGGAGUACACGAGCGGCGGACGGCUGAGUAACACGUAGGAACGUACCCCAAACUGAGGGAUAAGCACCAGAAAUGGUGUCUAAUACCGCAUGUGCUCUUCGGAGUAAAGCUUCGGCGGUUUGGGAACGGCCUGCGCAUGAUUAGCUUGUUGGUAAGGUAAUGGCUUACCAAGGCGACGAUCAUUAGCUGGUCUGAGAGGAUGAUCAGCCAGACUGGGACUGAGACACGGCCCAGACUCCUACGGGAGGCAGCAGUAGGGAAUUUUCCACAAUGGGCGAAAGCCUGAUGGAGCAACGCCGCGUGCAGGAUGAAUGCCUUC
rnacentral:rRNA from 1 species